UUAUUAUUAUUAUUAUUACUUUUUUAUUAUUAUUAUCAUUGAUAAUUAUUAUUAUUGAUUAUUAUUGUUGAUUAUUUAUUAUUAUUAAUGAUUAUUAUUAUUUUUAAUUUUUACUAUUGAAUUUUAUUUUUAUUGUUAAUUAUUAUUGUUGUUAAUUUUAUUAUUUGUUAUUUAUUGUUAUUGAUUUAUUAUUGUCAUUUAUAAUUAUUAUUGAUUAUUGGAAAUUAUUAUUAUGGUUACUAUUAUUUAUUUAUAUUAUUUAUUAGUAUUAUUUAUUAUUAUAAUUAGUAUUAUUUGUUUAAUAUUAUUGUUAUUAUUAUUUAUUGUGUUAAUUGAUUAUUU
rnacentral:lncRNA from 1 species